rnacentral:rRNA from 1 species
UACGUAGGGGGCAAGCGUUGUCCGGAAUCAUUGGGCGUAAAGAGCGUGUAGGCGGCUCGGUAAGUCCGCUGUGAAAGUCCAGGGCUCAACCCUGGAAAGCCAGUGGAAACUGCCAAGCUAGAGUCCGGAAGAGGCGAGUGGAACUCCUGGUGUAGCGGUGAAAUGCGCAGAUAUCAGGAAGAACACCAAUGGCGAAGGCAGCUCGCUGGGACGGUACUGACGCUGAGACGCGAAAGCGUGGGGAGCAAACAGG